CCUACGGGUGGCAGCAGUGAGGAAUAUUGGUCAAUGGACGCAAGUCUGAACCAGCCAAGUAGCGUGCAGGAUGACGGCCCUCUGGGUUGUAAACUUCUUUUAUAAAGGAAUAAAACGAGGCACGUGUGCCUUUUUUCAUGUGCUUUAUGAAUAAGAGUCGGCUAACUCCGUGCCAGCAGCCGCGGUGAUACGGAGGAUCCGAGCGUUAUCCGGAUUUAUUGGGUUUAAAGGGAGCGUAGAUGGGUUGUUAAGUCAGUUGUGAAAGUCUGCGGCUCAACCGUAAAAUUGCAAUUGAUACUGGCAGUCUUGAGUACAGUUGAGGUAGGCGGAAUUCGUGGUGUAGCGGUGAAAUGCUUAGAUAUCACGAAGAACCCCGAUUGCGAAGGCAGCUGACUAAACUGUGACUGACACUGAUGCUCGAAAGUGUGGGUAUCAAACAGGAUUAGAUACCCUGGUAGUC
rnacentral:rRNA from 1 species